CCGCUUCCAGAAUAAAGGGCUGAUUAUCAGAAAUCAAGUGGCCCUCGGCCAUGGGCCCAGCUAAGGGCACACCCCUCUGAGGGCAGGGGCUUCCAAGGACCAUUGAGGCUAAUAUGAAGGCCCAGCCCUCUUUCCCCAACUCGGGGUAGUGCUGGGGGCCUCCUGUCUACAGAGCUCCUGCAAGAUGGAUGCAGUUCCUCAGGACUGACUGCGUGGCCGCUGCCUCUGCCCUCUGCUGGGUCCUGCCUCCUGAUGCUGUUCUCCGCACAGGAAUCCAGAACUGAUUACCCCCCCAACCAGGAGUCUCCCUUCCCCUAAACCCUCUGGGGUGGAUUUUAUCCUGAAAGUGCUUUGGAGUCUCAGGCAGGAGAGAAAAGAGAAGGAAUUUGAGUUAUAGAAAGAAUUCUCUUGCAACCGUGGCCGAGUGUUUGUGGGAGGAAAGCUGGGAGGAUGAGGGCCACACGUUGGAGGGUGUCUAACCGUCUGUGUUAGCACUGGACAGCCACUCCCCGAAGGACCCUCAGUCCCAGCCAAGCCAGCUCGGUGGGUCAGCCUGGCUGGUCUGGAGGCCUUUACGGUACAUCAGGUAGAGAGACAGAGGCUGGCAAAGGACGGAGCAGACUCUGGGAAUGUUUGGGGACAAUCAACAGAUCUUGGAGGAGUCAAGACUGCAGGAGGAAAACAUUCAUUUUGGCCACGUAGAGACUGAAGUUCCAGCGGGACACCUGGAUUUCAGGACAGGCCUGGGAACUGCCAUCACAGAAAUAAUAACGCAAUGGAAUUCUAAGAAACAUGAACGGCCAAGGCAGCCCAUGAAGUCCUUCCUGACUUGUGUCACUUCCCUGUAUCAGGCAAGCACUCACGCUGACGUGAUGGCAUAGAAGGACAGGGAAAGGCGGGACCCGCUCCGGCUCUUUUCCUCUCAGCCCUUCCUUACUCAUAGCCAGCCCCUGCCAAAGGCUGCUACCAAGACUGGAGUUGAAACCAGGGGCCGCAGGGCCGGGGCACUGAGGGCCCUCACCCACGCGGGCAAACGCCCCGAGCCUUGGGUAGUGGGCAAUGCAGGGAGAGGUGAUGAGAACUCAGCCAUUGCCCAGCACCACGGGCAGACCAGGGAGAGCCGCUCUGCCUUGGGGUUUCAAGAGCUUAUUUUCUGAUACAUGAAUCAAAUGAGAGUGAAACGAAAAUGUGGCAGGGCAGUAUGAAAAGGGGGAAAGAAUAACCUGUCCGUGGAAAAACCUGACACCUCCCGCUCAGCCAGGUGAUCCGGGCCCACAUCACAGCCGCAUGGUGGGUGAGAGCUCGGACCCUUCACGUGGUGGGGUGAGAAGCGCACUUCACCUCCGUGCUUCUGGCCCCGGAGAAAAACCGAGACACAUCCCAAUAGAGGGACGGUCUGUAAAACCCCUGACCAGGCUGGGCGCAGUGGCUCACGCCUGUAAUCCCAGCACUUUGGGAGGCCAAGGCGGGCGGAUCACUUGAAGUCAGAAGUUCGAGACCAGCCUGGCCAAUAUGGUGAAACCGUGUCCCUACUAAAAUACAAAAAAAAAAAAAAAAUGUUGGGCAUGGUGAUGCACACCUGUAGUCCCAGCUACUCGGGAGGCUGAGGUAAGGAGAAUCGCUUGAACUUAGGAGGUGAAAGUUGCUGUGAGCUGAGAUUGCACCAUUGUACUCCAGCCUGGGUGACAGAGCAAAACUCCGUCUCAAAAACAAACAAACAAAAAACACAAGGAAAGUCCGAGUACUGUCACAGCCAAGAGGAGCCUGGAGACCCGAACACUGCAUGUCAUGUGAGAUCCUGGAAAAGAAAAAGGAUAAUAGGUAAAAACCAGGGCAAUGUGGAGAAAGUGUGGACUUUAACAUCAAUGCUGGUUCUUUAAUUGUGACAAAUUUCCCACAUGAAUGAAAGGUAUUAAUGGGAGGGGAAAUGGUGUCAGGUAAUGAGAACUCUGUACAGUCUGCAACACUUGUCUGCAGGUCGAAAACCAUUCUAACAUGAAAAGUUUACUGUUUCUUUUUUAAAGCAACGGAACAUCAUUCAAAGAAUACAGAUAGUUUACAAGAGAAGAAAUACAAAUGAAUCAACAAACGUGAUAAAAUCCUCAAUCUUAGUGAUGAUUUAAUACAAAUAAAAACAGCAAUGAGGCAUUUUUGCCAAGAUGCAAAGAUCUAAAACUCUGAUAAUAUCACAUGUCGGAGGAGGCAUGCGGAAACAGGUGUGCACUGUGGCAGGUGAAGAAAUAAAUUGGUAAGGUGUUGUUAUCUCUUAUAAUAUACAAUCUUCAUACACUGUGAGCCAGCAACUCCACUUCCAGAAACUUCACCCAUAGAAAUAUUGGGACAGAAACAUUUACUCAAGUGCACGAAGAUAUUUGAAGCAGUAUUGUUUUGUAAGGGGGAAAAAUUGAGGAAAAGGGAGUCUAUGAAAAGAAAAUUGGCUAAAUAAAUUUUGAUACAUUGAAUGAAAUGUUAUACAUUCUCUUAAAAGCACUAAGUAUAUUUUUAAGGAAUAUGUAAGGCAUAUUCUUGCAUAGUAUGAUUUUUGAGCUAUGUUAUUAAGUUAAAAAAAGGAAGUUGUAAAACAUUUCAAUAGUGUGUAUACACAUAGGUGUACGUGUGUAUAAACAGGGCUGAUGUUGCAGGAACACAACGGCUGUGGUCACACAGGGCCCCGAGCCCAGAAGGACCUGUGCUUGGCUUAAUGCCCUGCCACUGCCAGCUCAAAAUUCUUAAUAAUUUUAUCUUUGUUGGGUGCAAUGGCUCAUGCCUGUAAUCCCAGCACUUUGGGAGGCUGAGAUGGGGGGGGGUCACUUAAGCCCAGGAGUUCAAGACCAGCCUGGGCAACACAGUGAGACCCCCAUCUUUACAAAAAAUAAAAAAUAUUAGCCAGGCACAAUGGCAUGUGCCUGUAGUUCCGGCUAUUCAGAAGACUGAGAAGGGAGAAUGGCUUGAGCCUGGAUUUUUGUUUGUUUGUUUGUUUUGUUUUGUUUUGAGACAGAGUCUUGAUCUGUCGCCCAGGCUGAAGUGCAGUGGUGCGAUCUCCGCUCACGGCAAGCUCCGCCUCCCUGGUUCACGCCAUUCUUCUGCCUCAGCCUCCCGAGUGGCUGGGACGAUAGGCGCCCACCACCAAGCUUGGCUAAUUUUUUUGUAUUUUUUUUUAGUAGAGACGGGGUUUCACCGUGUUAGCCAGGAUGGUCUCGAUCUCCUGAUCUCGUGAUCCGCCCGCCUUGGCCUCCCAAAGUGCUGGGAGAGCCUGGGAGUUUUUGUUGUUGUUGUUGUUGGUUUUUUUUGAGACAAGAGUUUCACUCUGUCAUCCAGGCUGGAGUGCAGUGGUGCAAUCUCGGCUUACUGCAAUCUCUGCCUUUCGGGUUCAAGCAAUUCUCCUGCCUCAGCCUCCCGAGUAGCUGGAAUUAUAGAUGCCUGCCACCAUGCCCGGCUAAUUUUUUUUUUUUUGUAUUUUUAGUGGAGACGGGGUUUCGCCAUGUAGGCCAGGCUGAUCUCAAACUCCUGACCUCAGGUGAUCCAUCCACCUUGACCUCCCAAAGUGCUGGGAUCACAGGCAUGAGUCACUGCGCCCAGCCAAGCCUGGGAAUUUGAGGCUGCACUCCAGCCUGGGCGACAGAGCAAGACCCUGUCUCGACAUAAUAACAUAAUAAUAAUAAUGAUGAUGAUUAUUUUAUCUUUGAGCUUGUGUUUUGCAACUGAGGUCUCUGGGGUGGUGGAGCGCACGUGUGGGCAGAGACUCACAGGACGUGCCCUACUGCCAUAUCACAUUGGCAAAGCCCCAUGAGCACAGUGUCCCAGCAGACCCACGCCCGUGGGUGUUCAGUGAGACUCAGUGAGCAAGGUGAACAUAUCAUGUCUGCAGCUGAGGACGAGGGGACCCAGGUGGUUCCAAAUGCCCACGCUUUCUGUUCCAACCAGAACUUGCUUCAAUCACAGAAAUAAUAACGCAAUGGAAUUCUAAGAAACAUGAACGGCCAAGGCAGCCCAUGAAGUCCUUCCUGACUUGUGUCAUUUCCCUGUAUCAGCCAAGCACUCACGCUGACGUGAUGGCAUAGAAGGACAGGGAAAGGCGGGGCCCACUCCGGCUCUUUUCCUCUCAGCCCUUCCUUACUCAGCAGGAGGCUGGAGGCGGGGAGUGUUGGGAGAAUGUGCAUCUCAAGAAGUGAAAUACACGCAGCUGAGUCUGGUUUGUGGGGCGUCUCCACUCCGCUGCUAAACACGAAGGUUAUCUACAUUGAGCAAAGCAAAAAUCCCAGACCAACCGUGGCAGAUGGCAGAGGAAGAGACCAAAGGCUGAGAGACGUGGCGGGGCUGGAGUGGCG
rnacentral:lncRNA from 1 species